rnacentral:rRNA from 1 species
UACGUAGGGUGCGAGCGUUGGUCCGGAAUUACUGGGCGUAAAGAGCUCGUAGGUGGUUUGUCGCGUUGUCCGUGAAAACUCACAACUCAAAUUGUGGGCGUGCGGGCGAUACGGGCAGACUGGAGUACUGCAGGGGAGACUGGAAUUCCUGGUGUAGCGGUGGAAUGCGCAGAUAUCAGGAGGAACACCGGUGGCGAAGGCGGGU